rnacentral:rRNA from 1 species
CAGUAGCCGCGGUAAUACGAAGGGGGCUAGCGCUGCUCGGAAUUACUGGGCGUAAAGGGCGCGUAGGCGGACAGUUCAGUCGGGGGUGAAAGCCCGGGGCUCAACCUCGGAAUUGCCUUCGAUACUGGCUGUCUUGAGUAUGAGAGAGGUGUGUGGAACUCCGAGUGUAGAGGUGAAAUUCGUAGAUAUUCGGAAGAACACCAGUGGCGAAGGCGACUCGCCGGACAAGUAUUGACGCUGAGGUGCGAAAGCGUGGGGAGCAAACAGGAUUAGAUACCCGUGUAGUCCCUGUCUCUUAUAC